rnacentral:rRNA from 1 species
AACGAACGCUGGCGGCAUGCCUAACACAUGCAAGUCGAACGAGGCCCUUCGGGGUUUAGUGGCGCACGGGUGCGUAACGCGUGGGAAUCUGCCCUUUGGUUCGGAAUAACAGCUGGAAACGGCUGCUAAUACCGGAUGAUGACGAGAGUCCAAAGAUUUAUCGCCAGAGGAUGAGCCCGCGUUGGAUUAGGUAGUUGGUGGGGUAAAGGCCUACCAAGCCGACGAUCCAUAGCUGGUCUGAGAGGAUGAUCAGCCACACUGGGACUGAGACACGGCCCAGACUCCUACGGGAGGCAGCAGUGGGGAAUAUUGGACAAUGGGCGCAAGCCUGAUCCAGCAAUGCCGCGUGAGUGAUGAAGGCCCUAGGGUUGUAAAGCUCUUUUACCCGGGAAGAUAAUGACUGUACCGGGAGAAUAAGCCCCGGCUAACUCCGUG